CAGGGGGAUAACACCUGGAAACAGGUGCUAAGACCGCAUAAGCGCACAGUCUCGCAUGGGACAGUGUGAAAAACUCCGGUGGUACAAGAUGGAUCCGCGUCUGAUUAGCCAGUUGGCGGGGUAACGGCCCACCAAAGCGACGAUCAGUAGCCGGCCUGAGAGGGUGAACGGCCACAUUGGGACUGAGACACGGCCCAAACUCCUACGGGAGGCAGCAGUGGGGAAUAUUGCACAAUGGGGGAAACCCUGAUGCAGCAACGCCGCGUGAGUGAAGAAGUAAUUCGUUAUGUAAAGCUCUAUCAGCAGGGAAGAAAAUGACGGUACCUGAGUAAGCAGCCCCGGCUAACUACGUGCCAGCAGCCGCGGUAAUACGUAGGGGGCAAGCGUUAUCCGGAUUUACUGGGUGUAAAGGGAGCGUAGACGGUAAAGCAAGUCUGAAGUGAAAUGCCAGUGCUCAACACUGGAACUGCUUUGGAAACUGUUUGGCUGGAGUGCAGGAGAGGUAAGUGGAAUUCCUAGUGUAGCGGUGAAAUGCGUAGAUAUUAGGAGGAACACCAGUGGCGAAGGCGGCUUACUGGACUGUAACUGACGUUGAGGCUCGAAAGCGUGGGGAGCAAACAGGAUUAGAUACCCUGGUAGUCCACGCGGUAAACGAUGAUUACUAGGUGUCGGGGGGUUAUAACCCUUCGGUGCCGCCG
rnacentral:rRNA from 1 species